ACGAGCGUGCUCCUGGGAGAGCAGACGGUCUCCAAAGCCGUCGCACGGGGUUCGACUCCUCGCGCUCGUG
rnacentral:tRNA from 1 species